UAAAAAAAAUCUACUCACAUAAUCUUAAUCAUAUAUGGAUAUGGUCAGCGUAAUAACUGUGACAUAAUUUUAUAACAUCAAUGUGAGUCAUCAGGAUUCCGCGGAUUUUAAUCUGGGAAUCAUUGUUAAUCGAAAAGUAGGAGGGGAUAAGAUUAUAUAUGACGCAGUCAUGUUGGCACUAGAAGAUAAAAGCUUUCUAUAUUAACAGGCACUAGGUACACAAGUGCCAGAUCAAUCGAGAGGUUCUAACGCUAUUUUAAGGUGAAAAGAAAACUGCACUACGAAAUGAGCGUCACAAACCAAGAAGUCAUCCCUGACAAGGAAGAUGUCCAGGUGAAAACGAGUGAAACCCAAGAAACCACGUCCAAUGUGAACGAAGAUGCGAAUACUGAAAAUGUCACAAGUUUGCCAAUAAUGAGGAAUGCUAUCAUUGCGCCGCCAAACGCGCCAGUCUGCCCAGCUGGCAUGACACUGGGUUCAGACGGAGUGUGCCGAGAUCCGUUUUAAUUAAAAUUAUAUUAACUGUUAAAAAAUUUACAUAAAAGUAUUAUUAUUGAUAAAUAAAAUUAAGGAUCUGGAUAAAAAAAUUUCGAUUAAGUAUAUUUUUCGUUCUGAUAAUAAAAAUAUUUUCGAAUAA